rnacentral:rRNA from 1 species
AUGCCUUUUAUUCUGCUCAUGGAGGUCCUGCGGCGGCUAUUCUCUCUUGCGGUGACUCGCUGUCUACUUUCUCCUCUUCCAAGAUCCGGCCUUGACCAACGAGUCUCCAUCUUCGUUGAUGACAUCAGGGUAUUCAUUAAGCCCAAGGAGUUGGGGUUUUCUGUGAGUGAUGCUAUUCUCCACGACUUUGGGGUGGCGUCUGGGCUAUGUGUGAACAUGUUCAAGAGUGUGACCAUGCUAAUUCGGUGGUCGGAGGGACAAGUCGACUUGGUCAGAUUAUUGUUAGGUUGCUCGAUUGGAUCGUUUCCAUGCAAAUACCUGGAUCUUCCCGUGAGGAUUCAAAGCAAUCAAUGGCCAAUUUCCGAUUUCUGGUGGAUCGGCUGGCUCAAAAACCGCCGGGAGAGGUGCCUCUCUGCCGAAGAGCAGCAGGCUAUCAUUGGUGAAAUCAGUACUAUGUGCAAUUCCUAUUCAUGUGAUGCUUGCUCUAGGCAUUCCUCUAAAGAUGGCAGUGGCUAUGAACAUAAUUUGUCAUGGAUUCUUGCGGUGCGCCAAAUCAGAGGCUCGAGGAGGGAACUGCGUGGUGGAUUGGGAUGCGGUCUGUAUGCAGAGAUGAACUGGUGGUUUUGGAAUCCCCAACUUGGAUUGGCUUAG